AUGCACACGUCCUGCCAGAAGUUACGUGGGUGCUGCUGGGCUCCGUGGAAGCAAGCACUGCUGCUGAUCAUCAGCAGGGAACCAAGGCAGCCGUGGUGGCUGCAGCAUUUGGCGGCCACAUCUUUGUGGUCUCUUAAUUCAUUCCCCUGCUGUUCCGCUUUCAAAAAAAUUGUGUUUUUUUUUUUUUCUUUAGAGCUUUGCCGUUGGUGUCGGCUGUUUUCUGAGGCAGCAGAGAACGAGGCAAGGCUGCUCUUCAAAUAUCGAUGCCGUUGCUCAGGGAGCCCCGGCAACAUCAGCGCCGUCAGCUCAGCGGGUGUUUUACCGGGGGGCGCGGUUGGCCCCGGACACACGGGUCUUCGGAUGGAGACGUUGCCCUCCAAGCUGUGGCCUCUUUCUGGCCCUUGCGAUAAAGAGGAAGAAACCUGGCGGGGCUGCGCCCUGCCUGCAGCGGGAGCUGCCUGCUGCCAGCCCGCGCUCCGCAGCCGACGGCUCGGGUUAUUGCCCGGCUGGAGAUCAGCAUUAACAUCGCUGCUCGUCUCGGGGACUAGAGGCCCGGCAAAACCGACCGGCGCAGGAGGAUGGCCUCGGAGCCUCGGGGGGACGAGCCCCGGGGGGCCGGCCGGCGAGCGCGGCGUGCCGCGGGGACGAGGCGAGGCGCGGGCGGCCGGGACGGAGCCAGCGGGCGCCCGGUGCUCGGCGGGGCCGCCCCGGGGCCCCCCGCACCCGACGGUGUGCGUGUGGCGGGCGAGCCAGGCCGGGCCGCCGGCAAAGGCAGCGGGCGGCGGCCGGUUUCGAGCCCCGCGGAGCCCCCCCCGCUCCCGGCGCCCAGCGGGUUUGGGCACCGCCGCAGACCCCGAGGGCGGGCGGCCCCGCCUGCUUAAUUUUCGGGCUGCUAACGGGGUGUGUGUGUGUGUGUGGGGGGGGAUGAGCGCACCCUCCCCUUCCUCAGGCCACCCCCAGAGCUCUCGGGGAGCCGCCCGGCGCCUCCAGGCGCGCACCGGGAGGGCCCCGCGGGCAGCGGCCCCGCACCCCCCGCCUCUGCCGGCGGCCCCCCCGCCUUCCCCCCGCCCCUUCCCUCCCUCCGCCCCGCAGCCCAGCCCGGCUCUGUGCGCAAGCGUGCCCGGGGCCCCCCCCGCAGCCCGGCCCCGGCUUAACUCCGCUCCCCCCCCGCCCUGCCCGCUGCGGAGCCCGGCACCCCCCGGCCGCCCCAUGGUGAGUCUGCGGCGGGGGGCGUUGGGGUCGGGGGGGGCACGCGCUGGGGCUGGGGGGGGCUGA
rnacentral:lncRNA from 1 species